rnacentral:rRNA from 1 species
CCUACGGGAGGCUGCAGUGGGGAAUAUUGCACAAUGGGGGAAACCCUGAUGCAGCGACGCCGCGUGAGUGAAGAAGUAAUUCGUUACGUAAAGCUCUAUCAGCAGGGAAGAAACACUGACCUUACGGUCAGCAGACGGUACCUGAGUAAGAAGCACCGGCUAACUACGUGCCAGCAGCCGCGGUAAUACGGAGGGGGAAAGCGUUAUCCGGAUUUACUGGGUGUAAAGGGAGAGUAGCCGGUGCGCCAAGGCUGGAGUGAAAGGCCGCAGCUUAACAGCGGAACUGCUUUGGAAACUGGCGACCUAGAGUGCGGGAGGGGUAAGCGGAAUUC